rnacentral:tRNA from 1 species
AGAAAAAUAAGCUAACUAAGCUACUGGGUUCAUACCCCAUUUAUAGGGGUUUACCCCCCUUUUUUCUA